rnacentral:rRNA from 1 species
CAACAGGGAUUGCCCUAGUAACGGCGAGUGAAGCGGCAACAGCUCAAAUUUGAAAUCUGGCUCUUUUAGGGUCCGAGUUGUAAUUUGCAGAGGGCGCUUUGGCUUUGGCAGCGGUCCAAGUUCCUUGGAACAGGACGUCACAGAGGGUGAGAAUCCCGUACGUGGUCGCUAGCUAUUGCCGUGUAAAGCCCCUUCGACGAGUCGAGUUGUUUGGGAAUGCAGCUCUAAAUGGGAGGUAAAUUUCUUCUAAAGCUAAAUAUUGGCCAGAGACCGAUAGCGCACAAGUAGAGUGAUCGAAAGAUGAAAAGCACUUUGGAAAGAGAGUCAAACAGCACGUGAAAUUGUUGAAAGGGAAGCGCUUGCAGCCAGACUUGCUUGCAGUUGCUCAUCCGGGCUUUUGCCCGGUGCACUCUUCUGCAGGCAGGCCAGCAUCAGUUUGGGCGGUGGGAUAAAGGUCUCUGACACGUUCCUUCCUUCGGGUUGGCCAUAUAGGGGAGACGUCAUACCACCAGCCUGGACUGAGGUCCGCGCAUCUGCUAGGAUGCUGGCGUAAUGGCUGUAAGCGGCCCGUCUUGAAACACGGACCAAGGAGUCUAACAUCUAUGCGAGUGUUUGGGUGUCAAGCCCGAGCGCGUAAUGAAAGUGAACGGAGGUGGGAACCCGCAAGGGCGCACCAUCGACCGAUCCUGAAGUUUACGGAAGGAUUUGAGUAAGAGCAUGGCUGUUGGGACCCGAAAGAUGGUGAACUAUGCUUGAAUAGGGUGAAGCCAGAGGAAACUCUGGUGGAGGCUCGCAGCGGUUCUGACGUGCAAAUCGAUCGUCAAAUUUGGGCAUAGGGGCGAAAGACUAAUCGAACU